rnacentral:sRNA from 1 species
CUUGGUCAUUUAGAGGAAGUAAAAGUCGUAACAAGGUCUCCGUUGGUGAACCAGCGGAGGGAUCAUUACCGAGUACUAUAACUCAUAACCCUUUGUGAACCUUUAUACCUGUUGCUUCGGCGGCGCGCCUCCCGGGGCGUGCCCGCCGGCAUUAUCAGAAUCUCUGUUCGAACCCGACGAUACAUCUGAGUGUUCUAAGCGAACUGUUAAAACUUUCAACAACGGAUCUCUUGGCUCCAGCAUCGAUGAAGAACGCAGCGAAACGCGAUAUGUAAUGUGAAUUGCAGAAUUCAGUGAGUCAUCGAAUCUUUGAACGCACAUGGCGCCUUCCAGUAUCCUGGGAGGCAUACCUGUCCGAGCGUCGUUUCAACCCUCGAGCCCCCGUGGCCCGGCGUUGGGGAUCUGCCCAGGCAGUCCCCGAAAACCAGUGGCGGACCCGUUGGGCCCUUCCUUUGCGUAGUAACAUCUGCCUCGCAUCGGGAGCCUGCGGGCUAUCCGGCCUCUAAACCCCCCUCAAGCCCGCUCCGGCGGCACCAAGGUUGACCUCGGAUCAGGUAGGAAUACCCGCUGAACUUAAGCAUAUCAAUAAGCGGAGGAAAAGAAACCAACAGGGAUUGCCUCAGUAACGGCGAGUGAAGCGGCAACAGCUCAAAUUUGAAAUCUGGCUCCUUCGGGGCCCGAGUUGUAAUUUGCAGAGGAUGCUUCGGGUACGGGUUCCUUCCGAGUUCCCUGGAACGGGACGCCAUAGAGGGUGAGAGCCCCGUCUGGUAGGACACCCAGCCCGUGUGAAGCUCCCUCGACGAGUCGAGUUGUUUGGGAAU